rnacentral:rRNA from 1 species
AUGGAAAUGGUGGACGCCGAGGCUCCCUUCCUUACGGAGCACACGGACGAUGAGCCAGUGCUGGCCGGCGUCUCCGACUUCCGUGGCCGCCCCGUCUACCGCAGCACCUCGGGCUGGUGGCGCUCCGCCCUCUUCGUCGUCGUGAUGGAGGUCGCCAGCGCUUUCGCCUACUAUGGCGUGUCGGCGAACCUGAUCACGUACCUGACGGGGCCGCUCGGCCACUCCAGCGCCGCCGCCGCUGCCGCCGUGAAUGUCUGGUCGGGAACGGCCACCCCGAUGCCGCUGCUGGGCGCCUUCGUCGCCGACUCGUGGCUGGGGCGCUACCGAUCCAUCAUCCUCGCCGGCACUCUCUACGUCAUGUGGUAUGCCAUGAUCACUCUAGCAUCUGUGCUCACGGCACAACAUCCAUCGUUGUCGGGUGACACCUCUUCCCAUCCUUUGUCGCUGCGGGUGGCGUUCUUCUACACCUCCCUGUACCUCAUCGCCAUGGUGCAGGGUGCCUUCAUUGUCUUCUUCCUUGGAACCCCUACAUACCGCCUCUAUGCACCCACUCCCGGUGCUGAGAACCCCUUUGCCCUCCUUGCUCGUAGCCUUGCCGCGCUAGCCCAACAUGACAAUGCCACUUUGAGCUCAUUGCUUGGUAACCAAAAAGAAUACCAGGUAGAACAGAAAGAGGAUGCGGUAAAAAAGGAGGAGGCACGUGGCGUGGUACGGUUGCUGUCAAUCUGGGCGGCAUGCCUGGCAUAUGGUGUGGUGUUUGCGCAGUUCAUGACAUUCUUUAACAAGCAGGCUCGCACCCUGGACCGCCGCAUCUUUGGCAGCCUAGAGUUACCGCCGGCGGUGCUUCAAAUGUUAGGGGCUGCAACAACUCUGUUGUUUGUUCCCAUAUAUGAUCGUGUGCUGGUGCCGAUGCUCAGGCGCAUGACAGGCAGCCCGUCGGGUCUGACGCUACUACAACGCGUUGGCACGGGCAUGACGUUGACCCUGCCUACGAUGUUGGUGGCGGCAUUGGUGGAAAUACGGCGCCUUGAGACAACACACGAGCAUGGGCUGGUGGACAAUGCUGACGCAAUAGUGCCAAUGUGCUGGGCGUGGUUGGUGCCACAAUAUGUAUUGAUUGGUGUGGCAGGCGUGUUCGCGGAAGUCGGGAUGCAGGAAUUCUUCUACGACCAGAUGCCCAGUGAGCUACGCAGCUUGGGCAUGGCCCUCUACUAUAGCGUGAUAGGCAUGGGCAACUUCAUCAGUGGUGCUCUGGUAUCCCUGAUCGACCACAUCACCAACAGCGGUGGUGGCGACAGCUGGUUCGCGGACAAUCUCAACCGUGCUCACCUCGACUACUUCUACUGGCUGCUUGCCGGCCUCAGCGCCACUGAGCUGGCGCUCUUCCUCCGGUGCGCAAGCACCUACGUCUACAGCCACAAGAGGCUCCGCUGA